rnacentral:tRNA from 1 species
AGUAAAAUGCCUGAUCUUAAAGGAUUACCAUGAUAGGGUAAAUAAUGUAAUUUAUUACUUUUACUA